CCUACGGGGGACAGCAGUGGGGAAUAUUGCACAAUGGGGGAAACCCUGAUGCAGCGACGCCGCGUGAGUGAAGAAGGAAGGCGGUAUGGAAAGCUCUAUCAGCAGGGAAGAAAAUGACGGUACCUGAGCAAGAAGCCCCGGCCAACUACGUGCCAGCAGCCGCGGUAAUACGUAGGGGGCAAGCGUUAUCCGGAGUUACUGGGUGUAAAGGGAGCGUAGACGGCAGUGCAAGUCUGGGGUGAAAGGCGGGGGCUCAACCCCCGGACUGCUCUUGAAACUGUGCGGCUGGAGUGCAGGAGAGGUAAGUGGAAUUCCUAGUGUAGCGUUGAAAUGCGUAGAUAUUAGGAGGAACACCAGUGGCGAAGGCGGCUUACUGGACUGUAACUGACGUUGAGGCUCGAAAGCGUGGGGAGCAAACAGGAUUAGAUACCCCUGUAGUC
rnacentral:rRNA from 1 species